UAUUUUGCUGGUUGCGGGUUGCGGGCUGCGGGUUGCGGGCUGCGGGUUGCGAUCUAAUAAGUCAGUUGAACAAUAAAUAGGGAAGAAAAAAAAAAUCACCAAAACACUGUAUAUACUUGUAAAAGAGCAGCCCGCAACCCACAACCCGCAGCCUGCAGCCCGCAACCUGCAGCCCGCUAAAUAAAUAUCUUCAUUAUGCCACUGGAGGAUGGAAGGUUAUGUAAGGCAACUUUCGCCCUGAGCUGAUUUUGGUUCCCUGAGGCACAGUUUGGCUGUCUGCCUGGUGUGAUCACAACCAAAGUGGGAUUCACAGGUGGAACCACAAAGAAUGCUACCUAUCG